rnacentral:rRNA from 1 species
UAGUCCACGCUGUAAACGAUGAUUACUAGAUGUUCGGAUUUCGGUCUGAGUGUCCAAGCGAAAGCGAUAAGUAAUCCACCUGGGGAGUACGUUCGCAAGAAUGAAACUCAAAGGAAUUGACGGGGGCCCGCACAAGCGGUGGAGCAUGUGGUUUAAUUCGAUGAUACGCGAGGAACCUUACCUGGGCUACAAUGCCUCUGCUACUCCCUGAAAGGGGAGGUUCCUUCGGGACAGAGUGCAAGGUGCUGCAUGGUUGUCGUCAGCUCGUGUCGUAAGAUGUCUGGUUAAGUCCAAUAACGAGCGCAACCCUUAUCCUUAGUUACCAGCAUUAAGUUGGGGACUCUAGGGAGACUGCCGGUGUUAAACCGGAGGAAGGCGGGGAUGACGUCAAGUCCUCAUGGCCCUUACGGGUAGGGCUACACACGUACUACAAUGGCAGAUACAAACCGUUUGCAAAGCCGCGAGGUUGAGCUAAUCGAUAAAACACUGUCCCAGUCCGGAUUGGAGUCUGCAACUCGACUCCA